rnacentral:rRNA from 1 species
AUUGAACGCUGGCGGCAUGCCUUACACAUGCAAGUCGAACGGUAACAGGUCUUCGGAUGCUGACGAGUGGCGAACGGGUGAGUAAUACAUCGGAACGUGCCUAGUAGUGGGGGAUAACUACUCGAAAGAGUGGCUAAUACCGCAUGAGAUCUACGGAUGAAAGCAGGGGAUCGCAAGACCUUGUGCUACUAGAGCGGCCGAUGGCAGAUUAGGUAGUUGGUGGGAUAAAAGCUUACCAAGCCGACGACCUGUAGCUGGUAUGAGAGGACGAGCAGCCACACUGGGACUGGGACACGGACCAGACUCCUACGGGAGGCAGCAGUGGGUAAUUUUGGACAAUGGGCGAAAGCCUGAUCCAGCAAUGCCGCGUGCAGGAUGAAGGCCUUCGGGUUGUAAACUGCUUUUGUACGGAACGAAAAGCCCCGGGUUAAUACCCUGGGGUCAUGACGGUACUGUAAGAAUAAGCACCGGCUAACUACGUGCCAGCCGCCGCCGUAA